rnacentral:piRNA from 1 species
UCCCUUUUCUGCUUUCGUUGAGUGUC